UACGGGGGGGGCUAGCGUUGUUCGGAAUUACUGGGCGUAAAGGGCGCGUAGGCGGCCUACUAAGUCGGACGUGAAAUCCCUCGGCUCAACCGGGGAACUGCGUCCGAUACUGGUGGGCUCGAAUCCGGGAGAGGGAUGUGGAAUUCCAGGUGUAGCGGUGAAAUGCGUAGAUAUCUGGAGGAACACCGGUGGCGAAAGCGGCGUGCUGGACCUUUUCUGACGCUGAGGCGCGAAAGCUAGGGGAGCAAACGGG
rnacentral:rRNA from 1 species